rnacentral:rRNA from 1 species
UACGAGUGCCUCAAGCGUUAUCCGGAAUCAUUGGGCAUAAAGGAUGUGUAGGUGGCUCUGUUAGUCUCACGUUAAAUUUUGCGGCUUAACCGUAAACCUGCGUGGGAAACGGCAGAACUUGAGGGUGCAAGGGGUCUCUGGAACUCUAGGUGUAGCGGUGAAAUGCGUUGAUAUCUAGGGGAACACCAAAAGCGAAGGCAAGAGACUGGGGCAUUCCUGACACUGAAACAUGAAAGCGUGGGUAGCGAAUGGG